GUAUUAUUUUGAACUUUUCAAAAUAUUAAACCGUCGUUGUUCGAUUAAGGUUGAACUCUUCUUUUUGGCGAAGGCCCUUGGCCUUAAAGAGUGUUAUUUCGAACUUGUCGAAAUAUUAACCCGUCGUCGUUCUAUCAAGGUUGAACUCUUCUUUUUGGCGAAGGCCCUUGGCCUUAAAGAGUGUUAUUUCGAACUUGUCGAAAUAUUAACCCGUCGUCGUUCUAUCAAGGUUGAAAUCUUCUUUUUGGCGAAGGCCCUUGGCCUUAAAGAGUGUUAUUUCGAACUUGUCGAAAUAUUAACCCGUCGUCGUUCUAUCAAGGUUGAAAUCUUCUUUUUGGCGAAGGCCCUUGGCCUUAAAGGGUGUUAUUUCGAACUUGUCGAAAUACUGACCCAUCGUCGUUCGAUCAAGGUCGAACUCUUCUUUUUGGCAAAGGCCCUUGGCCUUAAUGGGUGUUAUUUCGAAAUUUUUGAAAUAUUA
rnacentral:lncRNA from 1 species